rnacentral:rRNA from 1 species
UCGGGAAUUUUGGGCAAUGGGCGAAAGCCUGACCCAGCAACGCCGCGUGAAGGAUGAAAUCCCUCGGGAUGUAAACUUCGCAAGAACAGGAAGAAUAAGUUUGUGCUAAUACCACAAGCGAUGACGGUACUGUUUGUAAGCUCCGGCUAACUCCGUGCCAGCAGCCGCGGUAAUACGGGGGGAGCAAGCGUUGUUCGGAUUUACUGGGCGUAAAGGGCGCGUAGGCGGCCUCCGCAAGUCAGUUGUGAAAUCUCCGAGCUUAACUCGGAAAGGUCAACUGAUACUGCGGGGCUAGAGUGCGGAAGGGGCAACUGGAAUUCUUGGUGUAGCGGUGAAAUGCGUAGAUAUCAAGAGGAACACCUGCGGCGAAGGCGGGUUGCUGGGCCGACACUGACGCUGAGGCGCGAAAGCCAGGGGAGCGAACGG